UACGUAGGGGGCGAGCGUUAUCCGGAAUUACUGGGCGUAAAGCGCACGCAGGCGGUUCGCCAAGUUUGGAGUGACAGUUGUCGGCUCAACCGACAAAGGACUUCAAAAACUGGUGAACUUGAGGACGAGAGAGGAACAUGGAACUCCAGGUGUAGUAGUGAAAUGCGUAGAUAUCUGGAAGAACACCAAUUGCGAAGGCAAUGUUCUGGCUCGUUUCUGACGCUCAGGUGCGAAAGCCAGGGGAGCGAACGGG
rnacentral:rRNA from 1 species